GAUGAACGCUGGCGGCGUGCCUAAUACAUGCAAGUCGAGCGAACAGACGAGGAGCUUGCUCCUUUGACGUUAGCGGCGGACGGGUGAGUAACACGUAGGUAACCUACCUAUAAGACUGGGAUAACUUCGGGAAACCGGAGCUAAUACCGGAUAAUAUUUCGAACCGCAUGGUUCGAUAGUGAAAGAUGGCUUUGCUAUCACUUAUAGAUGGACCUGCGCCGUAUUAGCUAGUUGGUAAGGUAACGGCUUACCAAGGCAACGAUACGUAGCCGACCUGAGAGGGUGAUCGGCCACACUGGAACUGAGACACGGUCCAGACUCCUACGGGAGGCAGCAGUAGGGAAUCUUCCGCAAUGGGCGAAAGCCUGACGGAGCAACGCCGCGUGAGUGAUGAAGGUCUUCGGAUCGUAAAACUCUGUUAUUAGGGAAGAAUAAACGUGUAAGUAACUGUGCACGUCUUGACGGUACCUAAUCAGAAAGCCACGGCUAACUACGUG
rnacentral:rRNA from 1 species